UACGUAGGGGGCAAGCGUUGUCCGGAAUUAUUGGGCGUAAAGCGCGCGCAGGUGGUUCCUUAAGUCUGAUGUGAAAGCCCACGGCUCAACCGUGGAGGGUCAUUGGAAACUGGGGAACUUGAGUGCAGAAGAGGAAAGUGGAAUUCCAAGUGUAGCGGUGAAAUGCGUAGAGAUUUGGAGGAACACCAGUGGCGAAGGCGACUCUCUGGUCUGUAACUGACACUGAGGCGCGAAAGCGUGGGGAGCAAACAGG
rnacentral:rRNA from 1 species